rnacentral:lncRNA from 1 species
UGUGUGGGUGUCUAUUUUUGUCAAAAUUAGGUUGACGGUUGGACAAGAUGAUCUUUAAGGUCCCUUCCAACCUAGAAGAUUCUGUGAUUCUGUGAAAAGGCACAGGCAACAGCCCUGUUACAGCACAUCUGGUAAGGAAUAUCCCACACCUCUCCAUGCUGAAGACAGAAGCACAGUCAGUGGACUUCUGCCAGGAGGUAAAACCAGUGCCUUCAUCCUUCUCCACGCUCCGCUUGCCUGAGACACUGCCCGGGGGGAGACAAGCAGCCCACUGCAGAUGCUGAAAGAUACGUCUGAAACCAGGAGCCUAGACAACUUGAAAAAACAGCCUACAAUCUCAUUCUGAAUGUUUAGGUACAAGAGCAAUAUUUCCCAGCUCCCAGGAAUUUCAAAGGUGAAUGGAAGCUUCAAAGGAGGCACUGGGAAUGCAAGGAUAGCAGGAAUGUGUUCGUACUGGUGUGACAGCAUGAUGCCUCUGAACCUUUUUUCUGCAGCAGAGUUGGAAUGGAGAACAAAUAGAAUGGAUUUUCCUAUCCCACCUGCAGCUUCUAAAUUGCUAUACAUACUCUAGAUUUCAAAAAUCAUCUUUUUUUCUCUCAUUCUUCUUUAAUUAUGUUCUACGGCUGGAAUGUAGGUGAAAUGGCUGCGAAGAAGGAGCUGGCUUCCUUGUCUGCACAUGGAUUGGUGCUUGGCUCCCAUUUUGCUGGCAGCCCCUAAAUAAGAAGUUGGGACUGAUGCUUAGAAUGACCAUCUUUUUGCCUAGAUAAUAUAUUUGUCUUGACAUGAACAAGUGUCAGUUCAUAAACAUAUGAGAAAAAACAUAUUACUACAGCUAUAUUUCAUAUACCAGUCGUUGUGUUUCAGUCAAAAAAUAAAUCAUCUUUUUUUUUUCCUUUUUCCUGUUCU